rnacentral:rRNA from 1 species
UACGUAGGGUGCGAGCGUUAAUCGGAAUUACUGGGCGUAAAGCGUGCGCAGGCGGUUUUUCAAGACCGAUGUGAAAUCCCCGGGCUUAACCUGGGAAUGGCAUUGGUGACUGGAAGGCUAGAGUGUGUCAGAGGGGGGUAGAAUUCCACGUGUAGCAGUGAAAUGCGUAGAGAUGUGGAGGAAUACCGAUGGCGAAGGCAGCCCCCCGGGAUAACACUGACGCUCAUGCACGAAAGCGUGGGGAGCAAACAGG